UGGGGAAUAUUGCACAAUGGGCGAAAGCCUGAUGCAGCGACGCCGCGUGAGGGAUGACGGCCUUCGGGUUGUAAAACCUCUUUCAGCAGGGAAGAAGCGAAAGUGACGGUACCUGCAGAAGAAGCGCCGGCUAACUACGUGCCAGCAGCCGCGGUAAUACGUAGGGCGCAAGCGUUGUCCGGAAUUAUUGGGCGUAAAGAGCUCGUAGGCGGUUAGUCGCGUCUGCUGUGAAAACUCGAGGCUCAACCUCGGGCUUGCAGUGGGUACGGGCUGACUAGAGUGCGGUAGGGGUGACUGGAAUUCCUGGUGUAGCGGUGGAAUGCGCAGAUAUCAGGAGGAACACCGAUGGCGAAGGCAGGUCACUGGGCCGCAACUGACGCUGAGGAGCGAAAGCAUGGGGAGCGAACAGGAUUAGAUACCCUGGUAGUCCAUGCCGUAAACGUUGGGCACUAGGUGUGGGGUCCAUUCCACGGAUUCCGUGCCGCAGCAAACGCAUUAAGUGCCCCGCCUGGGGAGUACGGCCGCAAGGCUAAAACUCAAAUGAAUUGACGGGGUCAUAGCUGUUUCCU
rnacentral:rRNA from 1 species